ACGCACGCUGGCGGCGUGCCUAAUACAUGCAAGUAGAACGCUGAAGGAGGAGCUUGCUUCUCUGGAUGAGUUGCGAACGGGUGAGUAACGCGUAGGUAACCUGCCUGGUAGCGGGGGAUAACUAUUGGAAACGAUAGCUAAUACCGCAUAAUAGUAGAUGUUGCAUGACAUUUGCUUAAAAGGUGCAAUUGCAUCACUACCAGAUGGACCUGCGUUGUAUUAGCUAGUUGGUGGGGUAACGGCUCACCAAGGCGACGAUACAUAGCCGACCUGAGAGGGUGGACGGCCACACUGGGACUGGGACACCGCCCAGAAUCCUAAGGGGGGGCGCCGUAGGGGAAUCUUCGGAAUGGGAGGGAGGUUGGACGAGGAAAGGCGCGUGAGGGAAGAAGGGUUUCGGAUCGGAAAGCUUGGUUGGUAGAGAAGAAAGAGUGUGGGAGGGGAAAGUUCACACUGUGACGGUAUCUUACCAGAAAGGGACGGCUAACUACGUG
rnacentral:rRNA from 1 species